GAUGAAGAACGUAGCGAAAUGCGAUAAGUAAUGCGAAUUGCAGAAUUUCCGUGAGUCAUCGAAUCUUUGAACGCACAUUGCGCCCACUGGUAUUCCGGUGGGCAUGCCUGUUCGAGCGUCAUUAUCCUCCCUCAAACCCCGGGUUUGGUGUUGGACCCAAGUUGUGUGAACAACUGGUCUCAAAGACAAUGACGGCGUCCGUGGGACCCUCGGUGCAACGAGCUUUUAGGAGCACGCGCCGAGUUGCAAGGACCUUCCGGGCCGAUCUCCUUUACUAUUUUACAAGGUUGACCUCGGAUCAGGUAGGAAUACCCGCUGAACUUAAGCAUAUCAAUAAGCGGAGGA
rnacentral:misc_RNA from 1 species